rnacentral:pre_miRNA from 1 species
AGCUUUUUAAAUCUGUGCUGAGAUUUCGUUAGACAUCAACCCAUUAUUGCUGAUCAAACUUCCAAGAUAAGUGAAGUU